GGAAUAUAAGAACUUGUCUCUUAACUUUUAACUAAAAAGAUUAAGAACCGGCUCUUAAAUAAGAGUUUUAAGAGACGGUUCUUAACUUUUUUAGUUAAAAGUUAAGAGACAGUUUCUUAUAUUCC
rfam:Brassica oleracea var. oleracea cultivar TO1000 chromosome C7, whole genome shotgun sequence